UACGUAGGGUGCGAGCGUUGUCCGGAAUUACUGGGCGUAAAGAGCUCGUAGGUGGUGUGUCGCGUUGUCCGUGAAAACUCACAACUCAAUUGUGGGCGUGCGGGCGAUACGGGCAGACUGGAGUACUGCAGGGGAGACUGGAAUUCCUGGUGUAGCGGUGGAAUGCGCAGAUAUCAGGAGGAACACCGGUGGCGAAGGCGGGUCUCUGGGCCGGAACUGACGCUGAGGAGCGAAAGCGUGGGGAGCAAACAGG
rnacentral:rRNA from 1 species